rnacentral:misc_RNA from 1 species
GUUAAGAGGCGCGGUGUCGGCGUGCUUGUAUUUGCGGGAGAGAAUUAUCUGGAGGUACUGGGUAGCCGGGAAGACUUGGACGGAUCUGGCCCGGGAAUGGGUCUGGGCCUGGAUUCUGGUGUGGUGUAGGGUAGGCGUAGAUAGAUGAGUGGUCUAGGGUAGAUACAGGGUAGCCAGAAGUCUGGUAUAUGGUAUGGGGGGUGUAGGGUAGGUCUGGACACCGUUUUCCACUUCGCCCUUCCCUUUAGUCGAGGGAGGACGAUCUUGGCUGGGACGGAGGUGUAGGGUAGGCUUAAUUUACGAUUACAUGAUCUGUGUCGCUCUAGGGUAGGUGAAAAUCCCAUAUAUAUCUGAUCACAUUUGGUGAAGAGGUGGUUUGGCUGGUGAGAUGGACAAAAGUGCAAUGUAGAAUUAUAUGUGA